rnacentral:rRNA from 1 species
UUUCCGGUUGAUCCUGCCGGACCCGACCGCUAUCGGGGUGAGGCUAAGCCAUGCGAGUCUGCGCUCUCAGCCAUGAGAGAGCGCGGCGCACGGCUCAGUAACAUGUGGUUAACCUACCCUCAGGACGGGGAUACCCUCGGGAAACUGAGGCCAAUCCCAGAUAGAUGAGGGAUCCUGGAAUGGUUCCUCAUCGAAAAGGCACGCAUAUCAUGCUAUGCGUGUCGCCUGAGGAUGGGACCGCAUCCUAUCAGGUAGUUGGUGGGGUAACGGCCCACCAAGCCUAUAACGGGUACGGGCCCUGAGAGGGGGAGCCCGGAGAUGGGUACUGAGACAAGGACCCAGGCCCUACGGGGCGCAGCAGGCGCGAAACCUCCGCAAUGCGCGAAAGCGCGACGGGGCCACCCCGAGUGCCAUCCGCUGAGGGUGGCUUUUCCCUAGUGUAGUAAGCUAGGGGAAUAAGCGGGGGGCAAGUCUGGUGUCAGCCGCCGCGGUAAUACCAGCUCCGCGAGUGGUCGGGACGAUUAUUGGGCCUAAAGCGUCCGUAGCCGGCCUAACAAGUCUCUGGUUAAAUCUCAAGGCUUAACCUUGAGAUCGCUGGAGAUACUGUUAGGCUAGGGGGCGGGAGAGGUUGAGGGUACUUCGCGGGUAGGGGCGAAAUCCUAUAAUCCGCGAAGGACCACCAGUGGCGAAGGCGCUCAACUGGAACGCGCCCGACGGUGAGGGACGAAAGCUAGGGGAGCAAAGGGGAUUAGAUACCCCCAUAGUCCUAGCUGUAAACGAUGCGGGCUAGGUGUUGGGUUGGCUUCGUGCCAAUCCAGUGCCGCAGCGAAGGCGAUAAGCCCGCCGCCUGGGAAGUACGGCCCCAAGGCUGAAACUUAAAGGAAUUGGCGGGGGAGCACCACAAGGGGUGAAGCCUGCGGUUU